ACCGGUUCGGUGGGCGUGGCUUGGUGGGCGUGGCAGGGGAAGGAUACUAUAAAAUCUCCAUUCCCAUCCCACUCCAGGGGGAGGUUACUGCAAAAUCCCCAUUUCCUCCCGAUCAGCUGGCACUUGGAAGGCAGAGAACAGAUGGGGGUGGGGCCAGUCAGAAUUUUUACUACCGGUUCUCCGAACUACUCAAAAUUCCCGCUAUCAGUUCUCCAGAACUGGUUAGAACCUGCUGAAACCCACCUCUGGUUCUUAGGAUUUUUUCAGCCCUAACUAUAGCAAAUGCAUUUCCCAGUGUUCCUGAUUAUUGUAUGUGUUGCUCAUCUUCCUUCACAUCACAGCAUCAGAGAGAAUAUCCAGAAACAGAAAGUGUACAUUGAGGUACUUGACAAUUCCUUGAACAGAAGCUAGUCGUUCCCUGCAGACAGUGAAGCUCUCCAGUGUGCAAUAUAAACACAAUUUGUACACCUUUCACUUUUACCGGUAGUAAAAAAAAUUGGAUUUCACCACUGGUAGAUAUAUAUAUGUAUACAAUAUAUGAGAUAAAAUAUUAAAUUAAGAUAAGUUAUAAUAAAAUCCCCAUAAUAUAACGCCAUAGAAUUGCAGUUGGAUAAAUGUUAUCGUUUGAUAUCUAACCAGGAAGGAAGCUAAACAUCUAACUGCUUCUUGUAUGGCUUUGAUGAGAUCAUCCCAGGUGCCUUUAAAUUUCCUGAGGCGACAUUCUUGAACUAUAUGUGUUAUCGCAAGUUCCAGUGUACACAGGCACAUUGUAGGCUGUCGGCCAUUUCCCAAUUAAAGAGCUUAAUCCAAUAAGAACAUACCAAAUUUCUUGUGUCACUGAUACUGAGAAGUCAGAAGGCCUGCACACCGACAACACAUCUCCAGAAGGAUGCCUCUGGUACCAGGGCCCCAGAUCAAACAAGAUGAGUCCCACCAAAGAUGUGGAGCUGAAUGUGUAUCUUUGUGAGGAAUAUCAUGGCAUCUUGUCAGACCCUUGCAAGAUUUAAACAUAUUCUGCAGGGACAGCAAAAAUGUCUCAAAUGAGCCAAAAAUGAUUGCCUUUCCUAAAAUAUUCAGAGGGAGGGGCAUCUUAAAACAGCAGAGAUCAGCAAAAGGGGUACAAGACAUGCCUAUGCCGGAAAUAUAAAUGUCUGGUGCAUGACACCAAGCCAAGCCAGUGGUUUGCACACUAAUGGGAUAAGUCACAGGUCAAGUGCCAGAAAGGAGAAAUAAAAAUGAUGCAAGCUGCUGAAGUAUGGUGUAAAUAUAUACAGUAGAUAAAUUUAAAAGAACUGACCCUCUAGAAAUGUCAGAAAACAGGAAUAUUAAAAAAAAAAAGAAGGCUGGAGAAGGAUAUAGAAAGCAGAAACUGUAACAGGCCCUGAACGAAAUGAGUUGUUUUGUUUUUUUUUAAAUUGGAUUCAUCAGGGUUCAGUCCAACAGGCUUAGUGAUCUCCAAGUGCAUAAUCUAAAACUGUUCCAUAAAUUUAAUCUAUCGAAAUUUAAAGGGCUACCUAUUCAGAAGAUCUGAAUCUAAACAACUGACAAAGAUAUUGCAGUCAAAACAUUUGAAUACUAUUUCUGCUAUAUUUAAGAAACACACACAUACACUGACUGUGCUGUAUUAGAACUGGUGAUCUGAAGUUUACAGCCCCUUUGGGUUUAAUUUUGGAAAUGCUGCAAUGCCAAACUGGGCCACAGAGAGGCACCUUUAAUUUGAGGUGGGGGAAAGUGACAUAAUUUAUAGUGUGAGUGGCUCAAAUUCCAUUUUUUGGCAGGCCAGAAAAAGGUAAAGGAAAAAGGGGCCUCAAAAGCAGUAUUUCCCAAGCUUGGCAACUUGUAAGAUGCGUAAACUUCAGUUCGCAGAACUAACCAGCUGGGGAAUUCUGGGAGUUGAAGUCCAUAUGUUUUAAAUUUGCCAAGGUUGGGAAGUUCUGCCCUCAAGCAUUUCAUGACACAACAAACGUGUCUCUUUUGGCCCAAUCCUAGGGUUUGAGCUUCAUCUGAGGGAAAAAGAGGAUCUGGUUUGUUUAGGCAAAGUCCCUCCUCCUUUCUAUAAAAGCAGAGUUGUGUGGAAAUAAAACUAAGAUCAGAACCCAGAUGAACUCAGACCCAAAUGGUAUCACAAGAUUUGUUUGGAGGGCAGGCUGGGGCAGAUUACUCUGACCAGAGGUAUGAAUUGCAUGGAUUGCAGUUUUCAGAGGGCUCGGGGAAUUAGCUUUGAAAUGGUCAUGGAGAAAUAAUGAUUGAGCUUUGAAACUGCCUAGGGAAAAGUAGGAUCGCCAACAUGAUCACCAACGUCCAGUGAGAAUAUGGCACAAGAAGAAAAAGAAGGGAAGUUGACCAGGUCUUCUCAGCCUAGGGGCCAUACAUCAUGUUAUAAGUAGUACUUGGGUUAUGAUGGCGCUCAGGACUGGAAUGUCUGGCAUGAAAUGAUGUGGUGAUAAAGCUUGCACAUUAUUUAGCAACUGCAAAUCUAGUCGUCCUAUGUACCUUUGUAACCCCAGGACCAUGCGGCUGUUAAGUGGGGACUUCAUGUGACCACAAUGUAGGAAGAAGCGGGAAUCUGUGGCAUGCUGGCUGGAAAGCAUUUUAAUUCUGUAAGUGGAAUCCCAGUGCAGUUUUAUUUCAGGGGGAUCAGUGUUGUUAUAGAUUAGGCUAUUGCAACCAAGCAAGACACACACAGACUUCAACGGAUAGUUAGAACUGCAGGAAAAAACAAUUGCUACCAACCUGACUUCCAUUGAAGACCUGUAUACUGCACAAGCCAGAAAGAGGGCUGUGAAAAUAUCUACAGACCCCUCAUAUAGCAAUAGCAAUAGCAAUAGCAAUAGCUCUUAGACUUAUAUACCGCUUCACAGUGUUUUACAGCCCACUCUAAGCAGUUUACAGAGUCAGCCUAUUGCCCCCAACAAUCUGGGUCCUCAUUUUACUGACCUCGGAAGGAUGGAAGGCUGAGUCCACAUCCUGGACAUAAACUGUUUCAACUUCUUCCCUCAAGGCGAGGCUAUAGGGCAUUGCACACCAAAAGAACUAGACACAAGGACAGUCCCCCCCACCCAUGCCAUCAGUCUGCUAAACAACUAAUUCCCACAACACUGUCAAACUACCUAGUAGGGCUAUGUUACUAUUAUCCUUCUCAUCUUUCCUAUUACCUAUUUCUUUAUCUUCUUAUGAUUAUAACUUUGUUGCUUGUAUCUUACAGUUUAUACCUACUAUGGUUUAUGUUGAUUGCUUAUUUAGUAUCCUAUGACUAUCACUAAGUGUUGUAUCUUAUGAUUUAUGAUGAAUGUAUUUUAUGAUGAUUAUGAUCAUGAUUUAUUACUUGUUGCUUAUAUGUACACCGAGAACUUACUCACCAGAAACAAAUUCCUUGUGUGUCCAACCACACUUGGCCAAUAAAGAAUUCUAUUCUAAAUCCAUUGCCAUAUACCAUCUUUGCAAUUUAAGUCAUUUCCCCCCUAAAAUUAUUUUUGGCCACUGAGAAGGAAAUGCAUUGGCAUAUACCAUACUGUGCUACCUUUUGACAGAUAAGAACAGCUCUUCGGGAGCCAAUUUGAUUGAGAAUUAUGAAAUAUGAAAGUCUUCCCCACCAAUGGCUUUUUUUAAAAUAGAAAAUUGUGUUGGAAGUUCUAUGACCUGAUCUCAUGACAUAACAUGAUGCAGUUUGGCCCUGAGUCAUAAAAUCUAACCAUUACCAACACUGCCUUCUUGUGCUCUUAUGCACCUUCAGUAAAUCUCAAAAGAACCUGUGAAAUCCAGUCAACAGUACCACUUGGAAUAUCCUGCAUGGCUGUCACGUGUCUUGGACAGGCAGAAGUUCUAAUAAAAACUUUUGAAACCGCUCAUGUUGCAGCAUUGCCUGCAAAACCAGAACUUUCCAGGCCUUCAGAGACCCUUUUACAGCCCUACUUGCAGAUGUGGGGGACUGAACCUGUGACCUCGCACGAAAAACAGGUGUUCUUCUACCCCUGAGCUGCGUCUCUUCAUCUAAACCUCCUUGAGAUCUAAUCUCAUAGUUCAAGAAGAUGGACAGGAAGCUAUUGCCUCCCUGGGCCUUGAUAAAGGAGAAAGAAAAGUCUUUGGAGAAAUAUACCCACAAAUGGAUCAAAGUAAAAUGUAUUUCCAUACAGUGUGUCAUUUGAUAAUGAAAAUUACAGGUUCCAGAAGUGCUCAAGGGUGCAAAGAGAGGGCCUAUCAACAUGUGACACUAAACACAUUGCUACCUAUUACUUCAGAGAACGCUUGUCAUUUUUAAUAGAAAGCACAAAGUGGGGGGAGGGGAAGAUGAUAUACUGAUCAUCAAUUGUGUUGUAAAUGUUGUACCUUGAUGAACGUAUCUUUUCUUUUAUGUACACUGAGAGCAUAUGCACCAAGACAAAUUCCUUGUGUGUCCAAUCACCCUUGGCCAAUAAAAAAUUCUAUUCUAUUCUAUUCUAUUCUAUUUACAAUAAAACAGAGGCGUGAUGUUAUUCUCUACCCCUUGUUAAAACCUCUUGACCGUUAGCAGUAGGGAAAAAGUUCCAUCAUAAGUACCCAGAGUGAGCGAGUUAUUCUUAUUGUAGGAGCUUUCAGAAGAACAGAUGUUUGGAAGCAGCUGUUUACAUUUUGGGAUUUCAAAAGGAAGGGGAUGCUGUGUUCUGCUCACUUUCCUAAUUAAGUUACUAGCAUUGGUCACUAUGGGAAAAGGUUUGUCUGCAUGAAAUUGGAGGAACCAAAGUUCUACCUGUCCGACAGAGAAAUGUAAGAACCUGCUUUAUACCAAGGAAGAUUAUUUGACUAUCUAUGUCUUGAUCAUUUACUCUGCCCAGUAAAUGGUUCCUAGAUCUCAAAAGGUUUUUCUCAUCACUUUCUUUUCACCGUCACUUGCUUUCUAUGUAUUUAACACAACGAUGGAGUUGUUCAAUGCAUAACAUAACAUAACAUAACAUAACAUAACAUAACAUAACAUAACAUAACAUAACAUAACAUAACAUAACAUAACAUAACAUAACAUAACAUAACAUAACAUAACAUAACAUAACAUAACAUAACAUAACAUAACAUAACAUAACAUAACAUAACAUAACAUAACAUAACAUAACAUAACAACAGAGUUGGAAGGGACCUUGGAGGCCUUCUAGUCCAACCCCCUGCCUAGGCAGGAACCCUACACCAUCUCAGUCAGAUGGUUGUCCAACAUUUUCUUAAAAAUUUCCAGUGUUGGAGCAUUCACAACUUCUGAAGGCAAGUCGUUCCACUUAUUAAUUGUUCUAACUGUCAGGAAAUUUCUCCUUAGUUCUAAGUUGCUUCUUUCUUUGAUCAGUUUCCACCCAUUGCUUCUUGUUCUACCCUCAGGUGCUUUGGGUAUGCAGUGAGUAUGCAAUGCAGUGUAAGGAAGAGGAAGAGCCAGUCUUUGUGGCAUCUACUCAAAGCAUUCUUAUUCUGUGCAAUAUCUUGGGACUUUUUCCAAGAGUUUGCCUAAGAUUCCCAAGCCCAUACAGACAGAACAUGAAAUGAAACAGAGAAGGAAGAAGAACACAAGAGGACUCCAAAAUCAGUUCUUAUACAGUAGUUCAGAGAGAGAAGAAGGAAAAUUUUGUUUUUUCUCCUUUGUGGGUGGAUUAUUUCUCUCUCAUACACACUUUCUCUCAAACCAAUUGUAAAGCUCUCUCUAUCAUCUGUCUGUCUGUGUCUAUCUAUCAUCUGUCUGUCUGUCUGUCUGUCUGUCUGUCUGUCUAUCUAUCUAUCUAUCUAUCUAUCUAUCUAUCUAUCUAUCUAUCUAUCUAUCUAUCUAUCUAUCUAUCUACCUACCUACCUACCUACCUACCUACCAGCUAUCUAUCUAAUCUCAACCUACUUAUCUAUGUUGUGUCUGCGCCCCCCGAGCCGGGCCUCCUGCCAGAAAGUGACUUGGAAAGUGAGGGGGAAGGGCCGUCAGGACUUACCUCGGGAGCACCGGCUCCCCUGGCUCAGCUCCAGCAGCCAGGGGCAGGACAGGUGGAAGAGAUAACGAGGCCUCCAUCCCCUAACUCUUUCCCCCCCAGGCCACGCCUCCAGACCCAGCUGAUGGCAAUCAGGCCUGGCUGGACCCUAGGUUUCAUAGGCAGGAGAGGCAGGAACAACAGAAGCAGGGGUGGGGCAGGCCUAGGAAGUGCUGAGUCAUGGAGCCACACCCCACAGGAUAUAAAGGCAGCAAGAGCUGCUGUGUCUCUUUGUAGCAGGCAAAUUAACUGCUUAACUAAGAGCUGAAGUUUGUUCCUGGGUGACUCAUCGGCGUCGAGGGAGAUAACAGAGACACUUGGCAGAUGCUCGCUAUUUUGCUGCCAGAGCUGAUAGUGCUGGCUAAUUAAGCCAUCGCUCGGACGGAGGCGAAGGGGGACAGAACAAUCUACCCAUUUACUUACUUGCCUAACAUAUGAUGCCCUACCAUUCUGGAGGGAAACAGAAAAUGACUGGCAAUAUAUUUGGCUUUCCCUAAUUUGCUGUGUCACUGUUUCUCGGCCAUGUUAGCUGGGGAAUUCUGGGAGUUGAACUUCACACAUCUGCCAGUUGCUGAGGUAGAGAAACAUUGUGCUAUGUAGUUCCACUCUCCGUCCACUGUCCCCCAUCUGCACCAAGUCUGCAGAGUUUCAAAUGCUUGUUUGCCCUCACCAAAAAAGCCAUCAGAGAUCACAGAGCAAAAGUUUCUGAAGGUCAUAUUAGAACAAGCGUGUGGCAUGGGGAGAGUGGGACAGAUAGAGUUAAACCCACUGUCCUCAUUCAUCCCUCCCCACCCUCUUUGUAAUCAAUUUCUUCCAGAGCUGGUACCUCCACCCCAGCCACAUGGAUCUAUUGGGUCCACGUUACGUGCCUUUCCCCACAAUGUCUUUGUCCUACUCCUCCCUUAAGAUCAAGCACUACAAACAGUUCCUUUACUAGAACUAGGGAAGUUGGAGAAUCCACUUUCCUUCAUAAUGUUUCUAUCUGUCACCUCAAAGUGGACAUGGAUUAUAAGGCUGGGUGAUAUUCAUGGUGAUGCUGAGUUUUUUCCAACCUCGAGAAAAUUUUCUGAACUGGUCCUAUGAAAACUGUCCUGUAGAAAACCAGCAUCAGAGUAUGAUAGCAUAGCUAUCAAUCUGAGCUUAUAUAGCUUUUAUAAUGAUGAGCCAUGGUGGCGCCCUGGUUAGAAUGCAGUAUUGCAGGCUAUUUCUGCCGACUGCCAGGAAUUCGAUUCUCACCGGCUCAAGGUUGACUCAGCCUUCCGUCCAGCUUGGUGAAAGCAGGACCCAGAUUGUUGGGGGGCAAUAUACUGAAUCUGUAUACCGUUUGGAAAAGGUUGUAAAGCACUGGGAAGCAGCAUAUCAGCCUAAGUGCUGUUGCUAAGUGCUUUUAGUUUUCAUGGCCUUCUUAAAAUGCAAGCAUGCCAGUCAGUAGUGGGUUCCGCUUACCUUCGCUACCAGUUUGGAACUGUAAGCAUGUGCUUGUUUCGCUAGCGCACAGUGCUUCUGCGCAUGCACAGAACCUUCUGCACAUGUUCAGUCUGUCCGUGAUGAUGAUGUCUGGGGUGGGUGGGCGGAGCCUCCCGCCACUGUCACUACCAGUUCACCCGAACCUGGGUGAACCGGGGCGAACUAGUAGAAACCCAUCACUGAUGCCAGUGUUAUCUCUUCUAUCAUACUUACCUAAAUAUUCAUUAUUGUUGUUGAUACUGCUGCUGCUGCUGUGUUAUAAUUUUAACUUGCUUUAAAGAUCCAUAGUUGACUGCCACGUGACCAGCAGCAAAUUUACUCAGUGAAAAACGUAUUUGUUGUUGUUAGUUGAGAAGUCGUGUCCUACCCAUCACGACCCCAUGGACAACAUUCCUCCAGGCCUUCCUGUCCUCUACCAUCCUCUGGAGUCCAUUUAAAUUCAUGCCUACUGCUUCAGUGACUCCGUCCAGCCACCUCGUUCUCUGUCGUCCCCUUCUUCUUUUGCCCUCAAUCUUUCCCAGCAUUAGGCUCUUCUCCAGUGAGUCCUUCUUUCUCAUUAGGUGGCCAAAGUAUUUCAGUUUCAUCUUCAGGAUCUGGCCUUCUAAAGAGCAGUCAGGGUUGAUCUCCUCUAGAACUGACUUGUUUGUUCACCUUGCAGUCCAAGGGACUCGCAGGAGUCUUCUCCAGCACCAGAGUUCAAAGGCCUCAAUUCUUUGGCGCUUAGCCUUUCUUAUGGUCCAACCUUCACAGCCAUACAUUGCAACUGGGAAAACCAUAGCUUUGACUAUACGCACUUUGGUUGGCAAAAACCAAAAAAUGUAUAGGAAUUGCUUAUUCCUCUGAAAUGAGCAAGACAGCCCUUGUAUUGGAAGGAAUACCUUGCCUGUCAUUCCCAACUUGUAAAGACAUGUAUGAUUUUCUUUAGAACAGGAGACAGGAGAUCUGUUUUCUCUCCCUAGGGACUUCAACUUACGGUGGGUUGUAUGGCAACAGAUCAGGAACACAGAUGCCAGCUGGACUAUCUGGCAUGCCUUCUGUUCUUUCGUCGCACAGGGAACAGGGGAAGCAGCCCGAGGAUUUAACAUUUCUUCAUUUAAGUAUUCAGUGCCAAUGACUUUAAAUGAGACAUAGAGAUUGCUACUAAAUAAAUCAGUGGCGCUCUCCAUUUUGCGGUGUGCUCUUGACGCCGCCUUUGAUGGACAGUUAUUGAAAGAAGUCACGACGAGGAUCUCUUCCCUCCGUUUUAAAUGCUUCUAAUAUGAAUCGCUCUCAAGGUAACCAUUACUAUCUCUUAAAAACAUUUUAUUACGAGGGGCAAAUGUAUGUUUUAGCAAUGCUCAGAUGGCUACUUAAUGUCAUGUUUAUCCCAGACCAGACACUCUCCAAAACAAAUGAGAGUUUUAAGAUCAAGCUUUCCUUUUUGUUUAAUGGAGCCCAAGUUGUUUAAAUCAUCCACUUCCAUAUAAACGUUUCACUUAAAACAAGCCGACCUAUUCCUCUCCAUUAAAAGUUCAUUCAUCACGAGGGUUCCAGCAACUUUCAAAGAGGAAUUGGACAUCUCUACGGAGUAGGGGAAAAAAAAAAAAAAGCUAAUAGUUUUACAGACCCAGGAACAGAAUGUAAAACCUCUUUCGCCUCAGGGCUGGAUCUCCAAUCAAGGGAUCUCAUCAAAGGCUGUGCAUUCCUGCCCCACAAAGGCUUCAGAUGUUCUCUCACAUGUGUGCCCAGCACAGGAUAUUGUGUCAGUAUCGCCAUAUGUGCAACCCCAUGCAGUGUUACAUUUGGCAAGGACCAUCUCUAAUAAAGUUUAACAACACUGGACAUUUGUCAGCAUCUGGGAGGAUAAUGAAGUCCACGAAUCCGGCAAGCAAGCGUGUUAGAUCACAUUUCUCGUAUCCGCAUGUUUAAUUCAUGUCCAGAGAGAAGACUUCCAGAUAUUCCCCGGAAUCAAGAGAUGUGCUCGUUCAGCAGGGAUAUGCAUCUGAAGUUAAUACAAUGCAAAAAUAGGCAGGAAGUAUGAUUGACAGUCAGUCAAUAAAUCAAUACAUAUAGGGCAACGACCCUGGAACUGUAGUCCUUCAUACUCCACGUAGAAGUGAGAGUGAAUGGCAUUCUGCAUGUAAACAGAUAUACCUGUAAUAUCUGAUUUACUGUAUUUCAGAAUGUAGCACAUUGUACAUUACCAUCUAAAGAAGAUGUUCCUCGCCCCACCUCCAGUAUCUAAUAAAGGCGAUCAACUCCAGAGUCUAAGGACUCUUCCAGACCAGUGGUGGGUUGCUCCUGGAUCUGUUCGGUUCUUCCAAAUUUUCCUUCCUUCCUUCCUUCCUUCCUUCCUUCCUUCCUUCCUUCCUUCCUUCCUUCCUUCCUUCCUUCCUUCUUUUUCUUCUUUUUCCUUCCUUCUUCAUUGUCCUUCCUUCCCCUCUUUCCUUAUUUUUCCUCUUCCCAUCUCUUCCCAUCUUCCCUUCUUUUUCUUUGUCUUUCCUCUUUCCCUUUCUCCUUUCCUGUCCCUUCUUGCAUGCUCAAAUACAAAAGGGGAAACAUUUCUCCUUUUGUUUUUAGUUUGUUUUGCCAGCUCUCUGCAGAGAAAAAAGGAGCCCAGGGGGGCUGCGUGUGCCCCUCCCGAGCUCCAUUUUCGCUGACAGAGGCACCACAGGCUGGUCCUUUGCUGUUUCCAGGGUGGCCCCUGAGUUUGACACCCCCUGCUUUAGCAGAUAAAAGUAGCUAGAACACCUUCAAGGUUGGUAACCUUCAGGAGAAGAGCUUUGUUGCUGCCAAUUGCACCCAUGGAUUCACAGGCUCAAACUAGCCAGCUUAGCUCAGUACAUUACUCACUUGUUACUGCCAUUUGAUGACCAUCUUCUGACCUACUGGAGACCUUUUAGAAAAAAUAAUAAUUUCAACCACAUCCAGAACUGUAUUGACAAUAAAUACAAACAUGUGCUGAUCUCAUUUUGAGUGGCAGUUAGCAAAUCAAGAUGCCUACAGCCUCGCUGGAGUUCCCUUCCUAAGUCCCAGGCAGUUAAUUUAUUUGUAUAAAUCGUACAAUUGCAUUUUAUGUUCAUUUAAUGGCUAUUAAGAAGAGGAUAUAUAUAUAUUUUAUGUUGUUAUCAUUGCUUUUGUAUCAUUUGUCUGGUCUUCUCUGUAACAAAUUAAUUUCAUUACUGGGGUUUUUCCUCUCCUUCCCAGAUGUGUUUUAUGCUUGCUGUUAUUCUAAAUAAAAACUAAGCAAGUGUUGAA